UACGUAGGGGGCUAGCGUUGUCCGGAAUCAUUGGGCGUAAAGCGCGCGUAGGCGGCCCGGUAAGUCCGCUGUAGAAGUCAAAGGCUCAACCUUUGAAUGUCAGUGGAUACUGCCGGGCUAGAGUCCGGAAGAGGCGAGUGGAACUCCUGGUGUAGCGGUGGAAUGCGCAGAUAUCAGGAAGAACACCAACGGCGAAGGCAGCUCGCUGGGACGGAACUGACGCUAAGGCGCGAAAGCGUGGGGAGCGAACAGG
rnacentral:rRNA from 1 species